CUCCUACGGGAGGCAGCAGUAGGGAAUCUUCCGCAAUGGGCGCAAGCCUGACGGAGCAACGCCGCGUGAGUGAGGAAGGCCUUCGGGUUGUAAAACUCAGUCACCUGGGAAGAGAGGUAUGGGGAGUGGAAUGCCCCAUACGAGACGGUACCAGGGGAGGAAGCCCCGGCUAACUACGUGCCAGCAGCCGCGGUAAUACGUAGGGGGCAAGCGUUGUCCGGAAUCACUGGGCGUAAAGCGUGCGUAGGCGGUCUUUCAAGUCCGGGGUGAAAACUCAAGGCUCAACCUUGAGAAUGCCUUGGAAACUGGGGGACUUGAGUACUGGAGAGGCAAGGGGAAUUCCACGUGUAGCGGUGAAAUGCGUAGAGAUGUGGAGGAAUACCAGUGGCGAAGGCGCCUUGCUGGACAGUGACUGACGCUGAGGCACGAAAGCGUGGGGAGCAAACAGGAUUAGAUACCCUGGUAGUCCACGCUGUAAACGAUGAGUGCUAGGUGUUGGGGGCUCAUCCCCUCAGUGCCGAAGGAAACCCAAUAAGCACUCCGCCUGGGGAGUACGGUCGCAAGACUGAAACUCAAAGGAAUUGACGGGGGCUCGCACAAGCAGUGGAGCAUGUGGUUUAAUUCGAAGCAACGCGAAGAACCUUACCAGGGCUUGACAUCCCACUGACCGGUUCAGAGAUGGGCCUUCCCUUCGGGGCAGAGGAGACAGGUGGUGCAUGGUUGUCGUCAGCUCGUGUCGUGAGAUGUUGGGUUAAGUCCCGCAACGAGCGCAACCCUUGACCUGUGUUACCAGCACGUAAUGGUGGGGACUCACAGGUGACUGCCGGCGUAAGUCGGAGGAAGGUGGGGAUGACGUCAAAUCAUCAUGCCCUUUAUAUCCUGGGCUACACACGUGCUACAAUGGGCGGUACAACGGGAAGCGAGACCGCGAGGUGGAGCGAAACCCAAAAAGCCGUUCGUAGUUCGGAUUGCAGGCUGCAACCCGCCUGCAUGAAGCCGGAAUUGCUAGUAAUCGCGGAUCAGCAUGCCGCGGUGAAUCCGUUCCCGGGCCCUGCACACACCGCCCGU
rnacentral:rRNA from 1 species